AUUGAACGCUGGCGGCAGGCCUAACACAUGCAAGUCGAACGAGUGGCGGACGGGUGAGUAAUGUCUGGGAAACUGCCUGAUGGAGGGGGAUAACUACUGGAAACGGUAGCUAAUACCGCAUACCAUCGGAUGUGCCCAGGUGGGAUUAGCUAGUAGGUGGGGUAAAGGCUCACCUAGGCGACGAUCCCUAGCUGGUCUGAGAGGAUGACCAGCAACACUGGAACGUAGACACGGUCCAUACUCCGACGUGAGGCAGCAGUGGGGAAUAUUGCACAAGGGGCGCAAGCCUGAUGCAGCCAUGCCGCGUGUAUGAAGAAGGCCUUCGGGUUGUAAAGUACUUUCAGCGGGGAGGCGUUACCCGCAGAAGAAGCACCGGCUAACUCCGUGCCAGCAGCCGCGGUAAUUC
rnacentral:rRNA from 1 species